CCUACGGGAGGCAGCAGUGAGGAAUAUUGGUCAAUGGGCGCAAGCCUGAACCAGCCAAGUCGCGUGAGGGAUGACGGUCCUAUGGAUUGUAAACCUCUUUUGUCGGGGAGCAAGGCCCGCCACGUGUGGCGGGAAGGAGAGUACCCGAAGAAAAAGCAUCGGCUAACUCCGUGCCAGCAGCCGCGGUAAUACGGAGGAUGCGAGCGUUAUCCGGAUUUAUUGGGUUUAAAGGGAGCGUAGGCCGCAUGUCAAGCGUGCUGUGAAAUGUCCGGGCUCAACCCGGGCCUUGCAGCGCGAACUGGCGUGCUUGAGUCCGCGGAAAGCAGGCGGAAUUCGUCGUGUAGCGGUGAAAUGCUUAGAUAUGACGAAGAACCCCGAUUGCGAAGGCAGCUUGCUGCAGCGGAACUGACGCUGAUGCUCGAAAGCGCGGGUAUCGAACAGGAUUAGAUACCCCAGUAGUC
rnacentral:rRNA from 1 species